rfam:Triticum aestivum genome assembly, contig: Triticum_aestivum_CS42_TGACv1_scaffold_049696_1BS
AGUAUACUUCCCCCUCCUCAAAAUUCUUGACAUAAAUUUGCCUAAAUACAGAUUUAUCAAGUCACGUUUUAGUAUUAGAUACAUCCGUAUCUAGACAAGUCUAAGACAAGAAUUUUGGGACGAAGGGAGUAUAUA